UGGCAAUGCCUUAGAGGGAAGGAAGAGUGGGGUUUGCUAGUUAACUUUAUUUCCUGAAGAUCUUUGGCUGAUAAUAGUGAUCCUGUAAUAGUGAUUUCUGUAGCAUUUGAACAUUUCCAAAGUACCCACUUCUGAACAGCUUUGGGAGAUAGGGACUACAAGUAUAAUUAUUUUACAGGGUUUUCCUACUCCAGAAUAAGAAGGCAGGCAAGGUCACAGAUUUUAUAUCAAUAUUCUACUCAGCCUCAAAUAGGAAUCACAUUAUACCUUGUGUCCAGCCUCCCUCUAUGCCCAUUAAUAAAUGAUAGCUUUCCCCUUCGAUCAACAUCAGGGAGUCGACAUUCAGGACUUCUGUUUCUUGUGAUUCAGGCAGCACAUCACUUGCCACAUGGAUGGAAGAGAAGUCUAAACCUAAAAAGAUAAGAACCUUUUGGGAUAGAGAAAGCAGGGUGAACCUCUAAGCCAAAGUAGGUAUAAUCUUCACCAAAGAAGCUCCAACUCCAGGGACCAUUUUGAUGUGAUUUCCAGUCUUCUUCCUACAGAACUCAGACCCACAUUCCAUAUACAUCCUCAAAUACUCCGAAGGAAGCAAAAUCCAGAGCUUCCCAAAGGAACCUUUGUUUGGGGGACUUACACUUAG
rnacentral:lncRNA from 1 species